ensembl:lncRNA
GCAAAAUGAUUUUUUAUACAGAAUUAGAGAGGCUGACAUCAGGAAUGCUGCUAGAAAAUUAUUAGCUCACUUUUUACAUCCAAGGGGGUGAAAUGAUACACUUUGGAAAUUUGUACAAAUAGACAAGUGGAUGGAUGUCGAUGUCAGUGGGGAGAAACGGGGGGCCAGGUCCCGUUUUGAGGAGAGGAGAUGGGCCCGGCGGGGGCGGAGGAGCGGGUCGCGCCGCUGACAUUAGCCAAGGACAAGAUGGGGUGGGCGCCUGCCGGUGGCCGACUCCGCCCCUGCCUCUCAGGGGUGCGCGUCAUCCGCGCAGCCGCGGAUCCUGGCCCGGGGAGCCACCGGUCCAGCCUUGCGCCUGGGAGCCGGACUCGGAGACGUCCACCCGGUGGAGAGACGCGAGGGAGAUAUUUCGGUGUCCUCCGCGUGCUUCAUUUUUAUCAGACUCCUGGGUGUGUGCAAGGAGGGAACGCAGGCGCGGAACUCAGGCGCGGAAGAUGUAGUUUGUGCAUUAGGAAGCCUCCGUUGGAGCGCCACUGACGUCUGCACCUCUGCGCUAGGCUCUGCUGCAAUACAUCAGACUGACUGCAGGAUCGCUGCCUCUUUGCUCUAAUAUAUGUGCACUGCUGGUUAGGAAAAUCCUCAGCCAUACCGUGACUCUAGCUAGCUAGUCAAUGUAUUUAAUUUUGUUAAUUGAAAGGAAGGACUAAGGAGGGAAAAGAAUGCAAAGGAAACAUGAAAAGAUUUUACAAAUUUUUAAAUGCUUAUUUUUCCAGAUGGAAGGUUGAGACAGUACGAAUAGAGACACUUCAUGGCUGCAGAUGUUGAUGCUUUUGCUAAAUGAACAGCCCAACUCAGUUCUGUGAAAUUGCAUCAUAUUUCUUUUCCAGAAGACACAAAUCUUUUGACUGUUGUGCUUCUCUUUGUAUAUGUUACUGUUAAAAAAAAUGUGAGGAAAAAAUACUUUAAUGUGAUGUCAAUUCUUAGAUUUCAUCCGUCUCAAUAAUUUUUGCAGGGCCGCAUCACUUCACUUUCAGUGUGAUGACAUUUGCUUUUGAAUGUAUUGUCUUGUGUUGAGGUCAUGGAAGAUAUGAAUGAGGCAGGAAGAUCGUUACAAAUGAACCAUAAUUAAUAUCUACAUAGUUCUCAUGGAUUGUCAGGCAGCCCCCUAGAGUGCUGAUUUGCUAGCGAGCUGUGGGGGUCACUCUGCAGGGGGACCGGGCAGGCCUAGAAGUAACUGUAGAUUCCCCUUUGAGAACUUGUCACUGGGCUUGGGUAUCUCAACAUUAAUACUCUUGCAUGAGUAGAAGCAGCAGAAUGUCCUGGAACCUCAAGGAGGGUUUGGGGGUAACAAUGCCAACAUGAGGAAACCACUGUAGAAGCAGAAUGGUGGAGUUCUGUCUUGGGACAGUAUUAGCACCUGUCGGGGAGUGGACGUUGUGCCAAUUUGCUAGGGUUGCCCUAACAAAGUCCUACAAAACUGGGAGGCUCAAAACAAAAGAAAUAGCUUUUCUUACAGUCUGAAGGCUGGAAAUCUGAAAUGAAGGCGUCAGCAGGGCCAGGCUCCCUCUGAGACCCUGUGUGGGUCCCCUCCAGCUUCUUCCAGCUCCUGGUCCUGGCAGACAAUCCUGGCGUUCCUCGGCUUGUAGCUCAUCACUAAUCCCUGCCCUGCUGUCAAGGCUGUCUUCUUCCUGAGUGUCUCUGUCUCUGACUCUUGUCCUCUUCUUAAGGGGACACCAGUUGUAUUGGAUUGGAACCUGCCCAAAUGACCUCAUCUUAACUUGAUUACAUCUGCAGAUAUCUUAUAUUACAAAUAAGGUCAUAUGGACAGGUGCCCAUCUUUUCAAAGGACACAACAGGACCCACGACAGAUGUUUUGGGAUUGUACUUCUGCUUCAGCCAGUGAGGAACUUGUCCUGAAUUUCUCAAAAGAGGUGAUGAAGAGUAACAGAGGGAAUUGGGCCAGAAUUUCCACACCAUCUAGCAUUACAGUGUUCCGUGGCUGAUGGCAUUAGCAGGUCAGCAUUAGCAGCUGGAAGGAAAGCUGAUGGGAGCCAGGACUGGAGGGGCGUCGACAGGGCAGAUCUGCGGUGGUGAGGGUGGUGGCUCUCAGGCCGCCAAGAAAAACACCAGGAGCUGCAGGGCCCAUGCCAGGGGAAGGAAGGGGUGUUGUGGGUCUUUAGGGCCUAGUGUUUCCCCAGAUGGGGACCCCAGCCCACUGCUUUUCUUGUACCCGUUCCUCCUCUCCUUCUUCAGUGACGAGGUCUGGGGAAGCAAGAAUGGAUGUCCACAUAAUGAAGCACCAAGUUAAUGGAAGGGAUUGUGGAUUUACUGAAUCUUUCACUUCAGCCCUAUGUGUGAUGCACUGUGUCGGGACUUCAUGGGCAGGUACAAUAGGUGUUAGCUUAUAAUAAUAACUCACAGUUAAAGCACAGCCGGGCCAGUGAUAUUUCCAGCUGUAUUCCACAGGAUCCUAGUGCUCAAACCAAAAUAUUGCAAAACUGAGGGAAC